rnacentral:lncRNA from 1 species
CUUUUUAAUAUGAUUUAGGUAAAUACAACGUUAACUCAAACAAGAUGAAAAUAUUCAAGAUUCUGUGCACAAUACUGUUGAUGUUGAUGGCAGUUUUAGCGGGAACAGCCAGUGGACGGCAUGCAUACGACAAAAGAAUCAAAAGAGAUGCUAACGGCAACAAAUUGGGAAGAAGUAGACCCGGUUCUACCAAACGACUUCGAAAAGAAAGCACUGGGUGAGUAGUUAAUCUUGUUGACUCGAAGAAAAUGACGUCUGAAGAUUUAGGAACAAUAACUACAGAAUCAGUUUAAAACACUUAUGCAUGGGUUAAAUAUAUAAAACGUAUGUAAUUAGCAUUCCUGAACCAACUGUUGACUCGGAAUUACAGUGUCGUACGUUCAUUUGCCUGAUAUACAAAACAUUUUAUAUAUAAUUUUUUUUAAAGAAACAAUAUAGUCCCAAAAUGGCGGAGUUAAGACAUGCCGUAAUAACCAAGAACAGAUCAACAUUGUUGUCGUACAAAAUACAACAGUAAAUAAGUCAUAUAAAGAUUUUGUGCGAUGUAGUUAACAUUUUGUAUUGCAUAUUAUUUGUUUCCAUUUCAUACUGACAUUUUACAAUGACGCGAGUGCGGUUGACAAAUUUGAUGGAUAGCAGUAGUUAGAUAAAUGUCAAUUGUGAUCGAACUAUAUAUCUUAUAAUUUAUCCCGUUUCUCAGUUCAACAAAUUGAAACCAUUCAUAACAUUUAAAAUGUUUCGAAAAUAAAAAUAUAUCAUCUUUCCGAUUAAAAGGUAAUUUUAUUUUACUAUAGAAUAAUCAAUUUGAUAUGCGAUAUCGUCAACAGUAAAAUUUUUCUGACCAGAUGCACAUUUUGACAUUACAGAAUACACAAAUCUUUCAUUAUUUACUACUAAUAUGAAUUUGCUGUAAUAGUAUUUAUAUAACGUCCGUGAACUGAUUUACUGGAGUACCACACAAAACGUACGUUCUAAAUAAGACAACUAUUUUUUUCAGGUGCAAAGAGAUGAGAGGAUCAGUAACACAACGGACUAGAACUUUUAUAAUCAUAUUGGUGGAUUUGGUCUCUAUAUUAACGUUUCUGUAUUUGUCAUAUUUCUUUAUAUCAUGUAAAUCAUAAUUCUACUUCCAAAACAUUAUAUUGUGUUACUUGAAAAAAAUAAAUCAUUUGCCUUCAAAGAAUUGUAUAAUCUUUAACUUUAUGUGAUAGGUUCUGUUGACAGUUUCAGACUUGAUUUUUCCUUUAAUCUGACUAAGAGGAAAUAACACAAUAAAGGUCAGCUACAAAGGUUCGCCAUUUGAGAAUUGUGAUAAAAGUAAAACCAACGAUAUUAAAUAUUUUUAAUAAUUAUAUGAUUUAUUUAAUUGUUCAAUAACUCCAUAUCUAAAAGAAAACAUUUGAGGCAGCGUGACAAUAUAAAGAAAACAUGAUAUAUAUUUAUAGCAGGAGGCAAUUACCCUGUCGACGCGACAGUCUCAUUCCAUUUGAAGUUAUCUUAUGUCACCUUGAUAUAUCCUGAGAAAAAAAUGAUGGAUACAUUGUGAUACUUUCCGAGAUGUGAUAACAUUCAAAGUUACACCAUAAACACGGAGAACUGUUUGUUAUUGCUUAAGUUAUGAG